rnacentral:rRNA from 1 species
CCACUGCUAUCGAGGUGGGACUAAGCCAUGCUAGUCGAACGACCCGGACUAUGGCGGGAAGUGGCAGACUGCUCAGUAACACGUAGCUAACCUACCCUUGGGACGGGUACAACCCCGGGAAACUGAGGUUAAUACCCGAUAGGUGUGGAAUCCUGGAAUGGUACCACGCCCAAAUGUAAACGCAUCCAUGUUUGCGUACACGCCCAAGGAUGGGGCUGCGGCCGAUCAGGCAGUUGGUGAGGUAACGGCUCACCAAACCUUUGACCGGUACGGGCCAUGAGAGUGGUAGCCCGGAGAUGGGCACUGAGACAAGGGCCCAGGCCCUACGGGGCGCAGCAGGCGCGAAACCUCCACAAUUCACGAAAGUGAGAUGGGGUUACCUCGAGUGCCGCCUGAAGAAGGCGGCUUUUCCAUUGUGUAAUGAGCCGUGGGAAUAAGGGGGGGGCAAGACUGGUGUCAGCCGCCGCGGUAACACCAGCCCCCCGAGUGGUGGGGAUGAUUAUUUGGCCUAAAGCGUCCGUAGCCGGCUGUGUAAAUCCCUCGUUAAAUCCAGCGCCCUAAGCGUUGGGCUGCGAGGGGAACUGCAGAGCUAGAGGGUGGGAGAGGUCAGCGGUAUUCCUGGGGUAGGGGCGAAAUCCAUUGAUCCCAGGAGGACCACCAGUGGCGAAGGCUGCUGACUAGAACACGCCUGACGGUGAGGGACGAAAGCUGGGGUAGCGAAUCGGAUUAGAUACCCGAGUAGUCCCAGCCGUAAACGAUGCAGGCUAGGUGUUGGGUUGGCCACGUGCUAGCUCAGUGCCGCAGGGAAGCCAUUAAGCCUGCCGCCUGGGGAGUACGGCCGCAAGGCUGAAACUUAAAGGAAUUGGCGGGGGAGCACCACCAGGCGUGAAGCCUGCGGUUUAAUUGGAUUCAACGCCGGGAA